UACGGAGGGUGCAAGCGUUAUCCGGAUUUACUGGGUUUAAAGGGUGCGUAGGUGGGUCUGUAAGUCAGUGGUGAAAUCUUCGAGCUUAACUCGGAAACUGCCAUUGAUACUAUAGGUCUUGAAUUAUCUGGAGGUGAGCGGAAUAUGUCAUGUAGCGGUGAAAUGCUUAGAUAUGACAUAGAACACCAAUUGCGAAGGCAGCUCACUACGGAUUUAUUGACACUGAGGCACGAAAGCGUGGGGAUCAAACAGG
rnacentral:rRNA from 2 species